AUUGAACGCUGGCGGCAGGCUUAACACAUGCAAGUCGAGCGGGGGAAGGUAGCUUGCUACUGGACCUAGCGGCGGACGGGUGAGUAAUGCUUAGGAAUCUGCCUAUUAGUGGGGGACAACAUCUCGAAAGGGAUGCUAAUACCGCAUACGUCCUACGGGAGAAAGCAGGGGAUCUUCGGACCUCGCGCUAAUAGAUGAGCCUAAGUCGGAUUAGCUAGUUGGUGGGGUAAAGGCCUACCAAGGCGACGAUCUGUAGCGGGUCUGAGAGGAUGAUCCGCCACACUGGGACUGAGACACGGCCCGGACUCCUACGGGAGGCAGCAGUGGGGAAUAUUGGACAAUGGGGGGAACCCUGAUCCAGCCAUGCCGCGUGUGUGAAGAAGGCCUUAUGGUUGUAAAGCACUUUAAGCGAGGAGGAGGCUACUUUAGUUAAUACCUAGAGAUAGUGGACGUUACUCGCAGAAUAAGCACCGGCUAACUCUGUGCCAGCAGCCGCCGUAA
rnacentral:rRNA from 1 species